AUCACUGCACCGAAGAGUCUGGAAGCAGUGAAUGGAUCCUGUUUGAUUAUCCCCUGUAGCUUCAGACCUGCUUCAGAGAAAGGCUUUGACAACAGAAGAAAAAUUGUUGCAGUGUGGAUUAAAGAUGAUGCACCUUUUCAGGGUCAUCCAGAGAGAAUAAUUUUUAACAGCAGUGAUGCAGUUAACUACCCUGAUAUCAGCAUCAUUGGAGACCUGAAAGAAAGAGACUGCACCACCAAGUUUAAUGUAUUGAAACUUGAAAAAACCACAAAGUUCUUCUUUCGAAUUGAGAAUGAAUCAUUCAAGGCAACAGCUGCUUUAGAUCCUGUUGAAAUAAAACUGAAAGGUUCUCCUCCGAGGCCCAGAUUAGAAGUCUCAGCUGAUCUGAAGGACCUGAAGGAGAAGGAGUCUGUCACUGUAACCUGCUCAGCUCUCACUCCCUGUUCACACUCCCCUCCUCAACUCACCUGGAGCCUCCAACAAGACGCUCUCAGCCAAACUGAGGAAAACUCAAACAGAACCUUCAGCACUCAGAUCCAGAAGACCCUCACUCUGUCAGACACACAUGAUGGAUUCAGCCUCAGCUGCUCUGCUGUGUAUCCUGUUGCUGGAGGAGAACCUGUGAAAACACCUGAGACAGAGUUAACUCUCAGGGUUUCAUAUUCUCCUAAAG